rnacentral:rRNA from 1 species
GGCAUGCGAGUCGCACGAAUUGGAAUUCGCUGCAGAUACGUCCAGUAACAGCUGGCAAGCUACCCCUCAAGACAGAUAACUCGGAAACUGAGGCUAAGACUGAUACGUAUGCACGCUGUAUGCAGCAUACUCCAAACGUUCCGACGCUGAAGGAUGCGGCUGCGGCCGAUUAGGUAGACGGUGGGUAACGGCCCCCGUGCCAAUAAUUGGUACGGGUGAUGAGAGUCAGAGCCGGAGACGGUAUCUGAGACAAGAUUCCGGGCCCUACGGGGCGCAGCAGGCGCGAAACCUUUACACUGCACGCCAGUGCGAUAGGGGGAUGCCAAGUGCACAGGCAUAGUGCCUGUGCUUUUCGGUACCCUAAGGCGGUACCAGAAUAAGGGCUGGGCAAGACCGGUGCCAGCCGCCGCGGUAAUACCGGCAGCCCGAGUGAUGUCCGAUUUUAUUGGGCCUAAAGCGUCCGUAGCUGGCCACGCAAGUCCAUCGGAAAAGCCACCCGCUCAACGGGUGGGCGACCGGUGGAAACUGCGUGGCUUGGGACCGGAAGGCGCGACGGGUACGUCCGGGGUAGGAGUGAAAUCCCGUAAUCCCGAACGGACCGCAGAUGGCGAAAGCACGUCGCGAAAACGGAUCCGACAGUGAGGGACGAAAGCCAGGGUCUCGAACCGGAUUAGAUACCCGGGUAGUCCUGGCCGUAAACAAUGUCUGCUAGGUGUGGCUCCCGCUACGAGCGGGUGCUGGGCCGCAGGGAAGCCGCUAAGCAGACCGCCUGGGAAGUACGUCCGCAAGGAUGAAACUUAAAGGAAUUGGCGGGGGAGCAC